GCCUACGGGGCCCAGCAGUAGGGAAUCUUCCACAAUGGGCGAAAGCCUGAUGGAGCAACGCCGCGUGGGUGAAGAAGGUCUUCGGAUCGUAAAACCCUGUUGUUAGAGAAGAAAGUGCGUGAGAGUAACUGUUCACGUUUCGACGGUAUCUAACCAGAAAGCCACGGCUAACUACGUGCCAGCAGCCGCGGUAAUACGUAGGUGGCAAGCGUUAUCCGGAUUUAUUGGGCGUAAAGGGAACGCAGGCGGUCUUUUAAGUCUGAUGUGAAAGCCUUCGGCUUAACCGGAGUAGUGCAGUGGAAACU
rnacentral:rRNA from 1 species